rnacentral:rRNA from 1 species
UACGAGGGGGGCAAGUGUUGUUCGGAAUCACUGGGCGUAAAGGGCGCGUAGGCGGAUGCUUAAGUUGGAUGUUUAAAACCGGGGCCUAACCCCGGGGCGGCAUCCAAAACUGGGCAUCUUGAAUGGAACAGAGGCUAGUGGAAUUGGGGGUGUAGCGGUGGAAUGCGUAGAGAUCCCCAAGAACACCAAUUGCGAAGGCAGCUAGCUGGGUUCACAUUGACGCUGAGGCUCGAAAGCAUGGGGAGCAAAC